GGGAGUUUUCCGCAAUGGGCGAAAGCCUGACGGAGCAAUGCCGCGUGGAGGUGGAAGGCCUACGGGUCGUCAACUUCUUUUCUCGGAGAAGAAACAAUGACGGUAUCUGAGGAAUAAGCAUCGGCUAACUCUGUGGCAG
rnacentral:rRNA from 1 species